UUAUCAUUCGAACGGCGGAGUAUUGUUUCGUAUCAACGCGUUAUCUUCUUCAAUAGUACUAUUCUUAUUAUUUCCUGUUUUUUUUCAAUCUCACCCAUCGUUACUUUUAUGUGCGCGACAGAGAAUCGAAUGUGUAAUCCGUGCGAAUUUUACUUUUGUCUUAAUGUGACGAAAUAUGCGUCGGAAAUGCCAUUCAAAAUAUCGUGCAAUUUUUGUAUUUGCGUCGCGAACGCGUAACUACAAAAGUGAGUAACUACAAAAAGAACUGAGAAAAAAGAAGAGGAGGCUCAGAAAGAGCAUCAGACGCCGGCAGAGCAACAUUCGGAUAAAUUAACUUGUGAACACAACUCCGCUGUUGCGCAUCGUGUCGGUCACGGUGGCAAGAACAGUGAAUCGCCUCGCGGUUACAGCAUAAUGAAUUAAAAUUACCGGUUGCAACGGCGGGACUUAAACACAAAGCGUCGUUUAAA